GAUGAACGCUGGCGGCGUGCCUAAUACAUGCAAGUCGAGCGAACAGACGAGGAGCUUGCUCCUCUGACGUUAGCGGCGGACGGGUGAGUAACACGUGGAUAACCUACCUAUAAGACUGGGAUAACUUCAGGAAACCGGAGCUAAUACCGGAUAAUAUAUUGAACCGCAUGGUUCAAUAGUGAAAGACGGUUUUGCUGUCACUUAUAGAUGGAUCCGCGCCGCAUUAGCUAGUUGGUAAGGUAACGGCUUACCAAGGCGACGAUGCGUAGCCGACCUGAGAGGGUGAUCGGCCACACUGGAACUGAGACACGGUCCAGACUCCUACGGGAGGCAGCAGUAGGGAAUCUUCCGCAAAGGGCGAAAGCCUGACGGAGCAACGCCGCGUGAGUGAUGAAGGUCUUCGGAUCGUAAAACUCUGUUAUUAGGGAAGAACAAAUGUGUAAGUAACUAUGCACGUCUUGACGGUACCUAAUCAGAAAGCCACGGCUAACUACGUG
rnacentral:rRNA from 1 species